rnacentral:rRNA from 1 species
AGAGUUUGAUCCUGGCUCAGGACGAACGCUGGCGGCGUGCUUAACACAUGCAAGUCGAGCGGAAAGGCCCUUCGGGGUACUCGAGCGGCGAACGGGUGAGUAACACGUGAGCAACCUGCCCCAUGCUUUGGGAUAACCCUCGGAAACGGGGGCUAAUACCGAAUAUUCACUACUGAUCGCAUGUUUGGUGGUGGAAAGUUUUUCGGCGUGGGAUGGGCUCGCGGCCUAUCAGCUUGUUGGUGGGGUGAUGGCCUACCAAGGCGACGACGGGUAGCCGGCCUGAGAGGGCGACCGGCCACACUGGGACUGAGACACGGCCCAGACUCCUACGGGAGGCAGCAGUGGGGAAUAUUGCACAAUGGGCGGAAGCCUGAUGCAGCGACGCCGCGUGAGGGAUGACGGCCUUCGGGUUGUAAACCUCUUUCAGCAGGGACGAAGCGCAAGUGACGGUACCUGCAGAAGAAGCGCCGGCCAACUACGUGCCAGCAGCCGCGGUAAGACGUAGGGCGCGAGCGUUGUCCGGAAUUAUUGGGCGUAAAGAGCUCGUAGGCGGCUUGUCGCGUCGACUGUGAAAACCCGCGGCUCAACCGCGGGCCUGCAGCCGAUACGGGCAGGCUAGAGUUCGGUAGGGGAGACUGGAAUUCCUGGUGUAGCGGUGAAAUGCGCAGAUAUCAGGAGGAACACCGAUGGCGAAGGCAGGUCUCUGGGCCGAUACUGACGCUGAGGAGCGAAAGCGUGGGGAGCGAACAGGAUUAGAUACCCUAGUAGUCC